AACUUGUUAGGAUAAAUAAUCCAUUGAUUUGUGGUGUCAAUAAUAUUAAUAUAAUACAAGUUC
rnacentral:tRNA from 1 species